GAAGAUGAUGAAACUAAGUUUCUUCUUUCCCAGUCUGAUUCGACUAUGACGACAGGGUUGAAAAUCGUUCCUAUUCAUUAUAGGCUCGCUCUUGCAAGCAGCCUGGAUAGGAGCUUAUACUUGCCAGUAUUGAGCAGUUCUGAUUC
rnacentral:snoRNA from 1 species